ensembl:lncRNA
UUUUGUACCGGAAUUUUUGCUUCGAGUCCCUGGCAGGCUGUCUGUGAUGGUGUUUGUAAGAUUUCUCUCAGAAGCGCAGCGUGAGCCCCGCUCGUCUUUAUGGUAGGGAUUUAAAGACACGGGUUCUGAUGGGAGAGAGAUGAGAGUUUGGCAGGAGUUCUCAGCUUCACCUGCAGUAGAGUUUUGGCCGGCGUGCAGGACGGCAGAUGGACCUCAGCGGUGCAGGUUGCUGGACCAGAGACACGCACAGGCGUCCUGCCAUCCUGCUGCACUGUGGACACACAUUUGGUAAAGACUUAAAGACAAAGCCAUCUGUAGUGGGGUGUGUGGGUGUGUGUGUGUGUGUGUGUGUGUGUGUGUGUGUGUGUGCGUGUUGUAACUUAUAACAAGAAUACACACUUGCACACGUUUCGGGGAUUUCCAUCACUUUUUCAUGCAAAAAACCCACUUUUCCAAGAUUUCUUUGGCCACGAUUACACAACUACAGACUGACUGGAAGCAGAUGAUUAUUAGAUCGAUUCGAUUAGAUUAGAUUAGAUUAGAUUAGAUUAUACUGAAUCUUUACCUUUUGUAAAAUAAAAAAAAAUUGUUAAUUCUUUUUUCCCCUGUUGAAGUACUUUGUGUUCUAUGUUUUUCACGUGUUGAUGCCGCUUCACGUUUUCAGGUUGUCCAGGUGUUCGUCCGCGUGUUUUGUAGGAUUUGUGAUGAUUAUACCCAGCAGGUGCAGGUGCUGAUUUUUAACCUCCGGGGUUGAGGGAUCGAAUCCCGGCUCCGUCCUGUGUGCGGGGUUUCCUCGGGGUACUCCGGUUCCCUCCUCUAGUCCAAAGAUAUGCGCUGUAGGCUGAUUGGCGUGUCUAAAUUGUGGUGUGUGUGUGUGUGUGUGUGUGUGUGUGUGUGUGUGUGUGUGUGUGUGUGUGUGUGUGUGUGUGUGAGAUUGUGCCCUGCGAUGGGUUGGCACCCUGUCCAGAGUGUCCCUGCCUUGUUCCCCGAGUUCCCUGGGAUAGGCUUCAGGCUCCCCGUGACCCUGUGUAGGAGAAACGAUAAAGAAAAUGUAUAAAUGGAUGGAUGGAUGAAGAUGGGUGAGUGGAGAUGGAUGGAUGGAUGGAUGGAUGGAUGGAGAUGGAUGGAUUGAGAUUUAUAAGUGAAGAUGAUGGAGAUGGAUGGAUGGAUGGAUGGAUGGAUGGAGAUGGAUGGAUGGAGAUUUAUAGGUGAAGAUGGAUGGAUGAAGAUGGAUGGAUGGAGAUUUAUAGGUGAAGAUGGAUGGAUGAAGAUGGACGGAUGAAGAUGGAUGGAUGGAGAUUUAUAGGUGAAGAUGGAUGGAUGAAGAUGGACGGAUGAAGAUGGAUGGAUGGAGAUUUAUAGGUGAAGAUGGAUGGAUGAAGAUGGAUGGAUGGAUGGAGAUGGAUGAGUGGAGAUGGAUGGAUGGAGAUGGAUGAGUGGAGAUGGAUGGAUGAAGAUGGACGGAUGAAGAUGGAUGGAUGAAGAUGGAUGGAUGGAGAUGGAUGAGUGGAGAUGGAUGGAUGAAGAUGGACGGAUGAAGAUGGAUGGAUGGAGAUUUAUAGGUGAAGAUGGAUGGAUGAAGAUGGAUGGAUGGAGAUUUAUAGGUGAAGAUGGACGGAUGAAGAUGGAUGGACGGAUGGAUGGAGAUGGAUGAGUGGAGAUGGAUGGAUGGAUGGAAGUUUCCUGCAAUCUACACGCACAGAUGCCUUUUACCCGGCUCUAAACGAGACGUGUGGAGUCUGAAAGCCGUGAUAUUUUUCUUUACGCUCGGGCUUUAUGGAGGAAAUUGAUCCGAAGCCGUGGCGUUGUCCGUCCACAUUUUCAAACGUUUUAACGAGCGUCUCCGUCGGCCUCCCUCGUCCUGCCCGUCACGCGCUCUGCCUGGGUGUUUAAGAAAGAGCUGUAUAUUUUGGCCAUACAGCUCCAACACCAGAAACAGAUUCGCGAUUGUUUUUAAUUCUCCAUGGCUGAUCACGACUUCCGACGCCUGUCGUGUGUUUUUCUCCCCCACGCUUCUGGAUUUUAAUCACAGGGUAAUUCUUCUCUCUCUCGAGAUGCUGACUCGAAAUAAAACAUGCUCCGUCGUGCAUCGAAUAAGAAUUAAGUCACGUUUAGUGUUGGGGAUUGGCUGCGAUGGGAACCCUUCGGCUACACGACAGAUGAUUAAAUCAUCACGCCGAGCUAAUAUGGAUUCCACAUCAUGGAGAGUUGUUGUUGUCGAGAGCUGGUAGUUAAGUCUAUUGAGGCAGCUGGAGGGAAGAGAACAGUUCAGACUCCACGCUGAUGAUGAUACGCUUCCUGGUGUCUCUUCUGUCAAAAAGCCCAUCGCGUAAUGCUAACGGUCAUGCUAACGGUCAUGCUAACGGUCAUGCUAACGGUCAUGCCGAUUACCACAUUCUGUCCAUCACACCGACGUUCACGAGCGUUUUUUUUUUAAUAAAGGGCAACCACGUCAUCCUUUUCUUAUGCAUUUAUAUACACAGCCAGCUCGUUACCAGUGUGUACAUAACACCUGCUGCAUAUGUCUGGCCACGCCCCGUUAAAGCCACAGGCGAUACUGUCGUCAAUCUGCGACGUUUACGUGGCACAAUAGGAAAGUGGCAUUUUACACACACACACACACACACACACACACGCAUCUCACAACGCUACUAGAGUCUCCUUCCAUAAAUCUUGAAUAAACAUCUCCUUAUUUGAAGAAAACUUCACCGUACAAGGUGCCUCGCUUGACUUUGGAGGUUUUUUAAAUAAUCCACCCGUCUGCUUCUCUCUCUCUCUCUCUCUCUCUCUCCACUUCUUCUCUGUAUGUUUUCUGCUCUCCACCUCCACUCAUCCUCUUCCUCGUCCUGGUUCUCUCCCAGCAGCAUGGCGCCUCUGUCCCGGCCGUCUGUUCUCCCAUCUGUGUGUUCGGUUUGGUUCACUGGCCUGAGAACGGCACUCACACCUCACACGAGGAGAACCGACAGGACGGGAAAAUAAAACACACGCGCAAAUCCGAGCGUAGAAAUUCAGUAUUUAUUUAACAGUAAUCAUUUUUUUCUUCAAACGUUCGAGACAGAUCUUUCUGAACGGAGGAGCUCAUGACGAGAGUAGGGAAAGAGAAUGGAGGAAGUUCUCUGGGUGUGUCGCUGUGUGUGUCACGCCGCGGUUGGGAUUAAUCUCAGCGCCGCAUUGCGAACUCGUGCUCCAACUUGGAAUUUCUGACCUCCGACUAGGGGGGGAAAAAAGCAAAGAAAACACCUCGUCGAUUUGGAAUUCCUACUCAGUUCAGCACUUGACUUCAUGUCAACAUGGCCGCUCAGACCGUCAACAUAACCUAAACAUCACUUAGCUACUUUAACUGCGCUUAUAACAGUGUUUACUUCGGAUCAAAUGACCAUAGUCUCAUUCCUCGGUGAAAUCAGUAACAGUGUUUUGUGAAAGCAAAUACAUCAUAAACUCACGCUCAUUAACGUUAGCUAGCUUUGUUGGUAACACACUUUCGUAGGGGUGUCAUUUUUUUUUCACACUUUCAAACUAAGUUUAAUAACCGAUGAAAACCGAUAGUGAAUGAAAACGUAACACUCAAAGCUUGACGGCUGGACCGUGAAAAUGUCCUGUACUUUUUCAAUGAAAUAAAUAUAAAUUAAUAUAUAUAAACUAUUAAUAAGUAUUUAAAUAAAUAAAAGAUACACAUCCAAACUGAACCAAAAAGUAACACUUUACAAAUUUUAAUUUGUACAAACACUUUAAAUAACGAAUAAAACCGAGACGUCCAAAAUGAAUCAAAAAAACACUUCAAAUAACGCACAAAAUGAGUCAGCAAUGGGUUUUAUUUCGCCUCUAGAGGCCGCUCUCGUACCGUAUGAUGGUGGUGUGGAUUUUUUUUCCCAUAACCGAUACUUCCAGCGAUCAGUUCUGGGUGCUGAUUAAUCAGGAAAACCGAUCAAUCGACCGACCUCUACUGUCUAAUUAAUACUGACACGAUCCCGAGUUCAGACGUCCCGCUUCAGAGUUCAGACGUGUACACAGAUGUAUACGCAGACGUGUAGAUGUGUACACAGACGUAUACACAGACGUGUAGAUGUGUACACAGACGUGUAGAUGUGUACACAGACGUGUAGAUGUGUACACAGACGUAUACACAGACGUGUAGACGUGUACACAGACGUGUAGACAUGUACACAGACGUAUACACAGAUGUGUAGAUGUGUACACAGACGUGUAGACAUACAUGUACACAGACGUGUAGACGUGUACACAGACGUAUACACAGACGUGUAGACGUAUACACAGACGUAUACACAGAUGUGUAGACGUGUGCACAGAC